rnacentral:lncRNA from 1 species
AAACAAGUUUUUUUCCAUUCUUCUUAAUCUUUAGGCACAAAUAUAAAAUCUAGAUGUUCAAUGUUAAUAUUUUCUAUAGUCUAAAUCUCAGGGCAUAAGGUUUAAAUGAGGAAGCUUUGGAGAAGAUCUGCACCAGCAAAAUCUUAUGGGUCCCAAGACCAUGUUGCACUCGUUUCCACUCAGUAAGGCUUCCUUGUGCCAUCCAUACCAACAU